UAUGACCUACGGGGGGCAGCAGUGGGGAAUAUUGGACAAUGGGGGGAACCCUGAUCCAGCGACGCCGCGUGGGUGAAGAAGCGCCUCGGCGCGUAAAGCCCUGUCAGCAGGGAAGAAAAUGACGGUACCUGAAGAAGAAGCCCCGGCUAACUACGUGCCAGCAGCCGCGGUAAUACGUAGGGGGCAAGCGUUAUCCGGAUUUACUGGGUGUAUAGGGGGCGCAGACGGCGAUGCAGGCCAGGAGUGGAAGCCCGGGGCGCAACCCGGGGCGUGCUCUUGGAAC
rnacentral:rRNA from 1 species